rnacentral:rRNA from 1 species
UACGGAGGGUGCAAACGUUGCUCGGAAUCAUUGGGCGUAAAGGGUGCGUAGGCGGGUCUUUAAGUCAGGGGUGAAAUCCUGGAGCUCAACUCCAGAACUGCCUUUGAUACUGAAGAUCUUGAGUUCGGGAGAGGUGAGUGGAACUGCGAGUGUAGAGGUGAAAUUCGUAGAUAUUCGCAAGAACACCAGUGGCGAAGGCGGCUCACUGGCCCGAUACUGACGCUGAGGCACGAAAGCGUGGGGAGCAAACAGG